ensembl:lncRNA
GUAGCCAGUGCAGAGACUGUAGUAUUGGGGUAAUAUGAUCAUAUUUUCUUGACCUGGUAAGGACUCUAGCCGCUGCAUUUUGGACUACCUGUAGCUUGUUUAUUGAGGAUGCAGGACAACCACCUAGCAGUGCAUUACAAUAGUCCAGUCUAGAGGUCAUGAAUGCAUGAACUAGCUUUUCUGCAUCAGGAACAGGUAACAUGUUUCGUAGCUUGGCAAUGUUUCUAAGAUGGAAGAAUGCUGUUUUUGUAACAUGGGAAAUAUGAUUUUCAAAAGACAAGUUACUGUCUAAUAUAACACCCAGAUUUUUGACAGUAGAGGAAGUAACAGUACAUCCGUCUAAUUGCAAAUUGUAAUCUACAAGAUUCUGUGUAAUGUUUUCUGGUCCAAUAAGUAAUAUCUCUGUCUUAUCUGAAUUUAAUAGGAGUAAAUUAUUGGUCAUCCAAUCUUUUACAUUUUUAACACACUCUGUUAGCUUAGAUAAUUUUGAAGUUUCACCUGGUCUUGUUGAGAUAUAUAGUUGAGAAUCAUCAGCAUAACAGUGGAAACUAAUCCCGUAUUUUCUAAUGAUAUUACCAAGGGGCAACAUGUAUAUUGAAAAUAGCAGUGGACCUAGGACAGAUCCUUGUGGCACUCCAUAUUUUACUGGUGAUAAAUGAGAUGACUCCCCAUUUAGAUAAACAAAGUGGUAGUGAUCGGACAGGUAGGAUCUAAACCAUCUUAAAGCCUGCCCUUGGAUACCUGUAUAGUUUUGUAAUCUAUCUAUGAGUAUGUCGUGAUCUAUGGUGUCGAACGCAGCACUAAGAUCAAGUAAAACUAGCAAUGAGAUGCAGCCUUGAUCUGAAGCAAGAAGCAAGUCAUUUGUAAUUUUAACAAGUGCAAUUUCUGUGCUAUGAUGGGGCCUGAAACCCGACUGAAAUUCUUCAUAGAGAUCAUUUUUUUGCAGGUAGGAGCACAAUUGAGCAGACACAACUUUUUCUAAAAUUUUAGACAUAAAUGGAAGAUUUGAAAUGGGUCUGUAAUUUGCCAGUUCACUAGGAUCUAGUUGUGGUUUCUUAAUAAGAGGCUUAAUAACCGCCAGUGUGAAUGGUUUUGGGACGUGACCUAAAGAUAACGACGAGUUAAUAAUAUUGGGAAGCG